GGCAUUAGCUCCUUCACCAAGGAACUCCUUUUUCAAAAAGACUGCUCUGCUGCUAACAAAAACUUUUUACUCAGCAGUAAAGUAAAAGUAAUACCCUUUAGUUUCUUUAGGAUAUCCUACAAACAAGCAAAUAUUAGACUUAGAUCCAAGCUUAUCUGUCUCUAAACGCUUGACAUAAGCUGGACACCCCCAGAUCCUAAGGU
rnacentral:lncRNA from 1 species